rnacentral:rRNA from 2 species
CUGGCAGUAAACGGUGCACGCUUGGUGUGCGGGGAAUCGACCCCCUGCGUGCCGGAGCUAACGCGUUAAGCGUGCCGCCUGGGGAGUACGGUCGCAAGAUUAAAACUCAAAGAAAUUGACGGGGACCCGCACAAGCGGUGGAGUAUGUGGCUUAAUUCGAUGCAACGCGAAGAACCUUACCUGGGCUUGACAUGUAAUGAACAACAUGUGAAAGCAUGCGACUCUUCGGAGGCGUUACACAGGUGC